AAGCUGUGUACAAACUCUGAAAUGUGGUCUAAAUACGGUACAUUAGGAAUGCACGGACCAUUAAAUAUGCCGCAAAUGUGGUACCUCCGGGCAGCAGACCAGUACUGUAGUCUCAAUUCACAGAGGUGCACAGACCAUUAAAUGCUUUGUGAAUGUGCUACAUUAUGCUAUGCAUUCGAGGUCCACAAACCAUAAAAUACUAAUGUGGUACAUUUGAAUGCAGACCAUGAAAUGCGAUGUGAAUGUGGGACAUCAUUUGGUGGACCUUUAAAGUUGAUCUAGUCAUACUAAAGUAGAGGUGCACACUACACAGACCAUUAAAUGUGAUCUAGAAAGCUACAUAUGACAUCAAAUGCGAUGAUAAGUAAUGGUACAUUAGGUGCAUAGACCAUUAAAUGUGGAAAUGCAGUACAUUUGUGGUGAAUGCCAUUAAAUAUUAUACAUACAUCAAAUUUGAGGCGCAGGGACAUUAACUCUGUAAAUAGGGUACAUUAAAGCAUCUUAUUCUAUGCAAUGUAAUUCCACGAGAACUGCACAGAUCAUUAAACAUGUAAAUGUGGUACAUAGAAGGUGCACGGAUGUUUGAAUUAAGGCUGCAUGUAC